rnacentral:misc_RNA from 1 species
AAAGUCGUAACAAGGUUUCCGUAGGUGAACCUGCGGAAGGAUCAUUAACACGUACUUCGGUACAAACCAACCCUGUGAACUGUUUCUCUCCCUGAGUAUGAAUUGCGUUGUGUGAGCUUUGUAAUGGGUGCUGUAAUGGCACGGCUCAUGCCUCGUCACGGGUUUUACCCAGGUUCAUACUUAGGCUCAAUUACCAUUGCUACAAACUAUCUAACCCUUUAAUACAUUGGACUGAUACACUUCUGUGCAGAAAUGCACGUGAAGCCUUGAUUUAUCAAAACUAAGCACAACUCUUAGCAAUGGAUAUCUUGGUUCUC